AUUGAACGCUGGCGGCAGGCCUAACACAUGCAAGUCGAGCGAGCGGCGGACGGGUGAGUAAUGUAUGGGGACUGCCCGAUAGAGGGGGAUAACUACUGGAAACGGUGGCUAAUACCGCAUACUAUCGGAUAACCGAUAUGGGAUUAGCUAGUGGGUGGGGUAAUGGCUCACCAAGGCGAAGAUCUCUAGCCGGUCUGAGAGGAUGAUCGGCCACACUGUGACUGAGACACGGCCCAGACUCCUACGGAGGCAGCAGUGGGGAAUAUUGCGCAAUGGACGAAAGGCUGACGCAGCCAGGCCGCGUGUAUGAAGAAGGCCUUAGGGUUGUAAAGUACUUUCAUCGGGGAGGCGGUACCCGCAGAAGAAGCCCCGGCUAACUCCGUGCCAGCAGCCGCGGUAAUAC
rnacentral:rRNA from 1 species